AUAUUAGACAAUGGGGGCAACCCUGAUCCAGCCAUGCCGCGUCUGUGAAGAAGGUAUUCGGAUUGUUAAGCACUUCAAUUUGGGAGGAAGGGCUUUAGGUUAAUACCCUGAAGUUUCCACGUUACCAACAGUAUAAGCACCGGCUAACUCUGCUCCAGCAGCCGCGGUAAUACAGAGGGUGCAAGCGUUAAUCGGAAUUACUGGGCGUAAAGCGCGCGUAGGUGGUUCAGUAAGAUGGGUGUGAAAUCCCCGGGCUUAACCUGGGAACUGCUUUCAUAACUGCUGAGCUAGAGUACGGUAGAGGGUAGUGGAAUUUCCUGUGUAGCGGUGAAAUGCGUAGAUAUAGGAAGGAACACCAGUGGCGAAGGCGACUACCUGGACUGAUACUGACACUGAGGUGCGAAAGCGUGGGGAGCAAAC
rnacentral:rRNA from 1 species